GCCCGGUUAGCUCAAUCGGUAGAGCGUGAGACUCUUAAUCUCAAGGUUGCGGGUGAGUUCAGCUAGCUCUUUAAAUCGAGAUAGAUGAGAAAAGUACUGACAGCAACGAUUAGGUUCGACCCCCGCAUCGGGCU
rnacentral:tRNA from 1 species